UUUAAUGUAAUCUCUAAUCUAUAAUAUAUGUAUAUAUGUAUAAUUAUUGUACUACUAGUUCAUUUUAUUAUAACAUUUAGAGAAUAAUAAAUUUAUUUAUAUAUGAAGAAAACUAGAUUUAAAACUACAGUUAGUCUUCAUAUACAAAUGUCUACGUCAAUUUUUUUUUUUUUUUUGGUGUCAAACUCGGGUAUGUACUGAUGCGAAAGAAUUUUAAACUUACGAUUAGUAAGAUAGGGCAUGACCUUACUUACUAAGCUGAUCCGAAUGAUGGGUUAUGUUAUCACUAACUACAUGUAGCUAUUAUAGACUCAAAAACUAUACUUAUAAUCCUACACUCACAGUCAUUUUUAUGAUGCUCAUGAGCUUCUCUAUGUGUGAUUUGAAGAUUGAUGAAAAAAAGAAAAAAAAAAAAACUAGGAUCAUCGAAUCAAAUCAAAUCAAAGGGAUGAAUGAGAUAAUAGAGAAGAGACCAAUGUGC
rnacentral:lncRNA from 1 species